AUAAUGCAGUCGAACGCUUCUUUCCUCCCGAGUGCUUGCACUCAAUUGGAAAGAGGAGUGGCGGACGGGUGAGUAACACGUGGGUAACCUACCCAUCAGAGGGGGAUAACACUUGGAAACAGGUGCUAAUACCGCAUAACAGUUUAUGCCGCAUGGCAUAAGAGUGAAAGGCGCUUUCGGGUGUCGCUGAUGGAUGGACCCGCGGUGCAUUAGCUAGUUGGUGAGGUAACGGCUCACCAAGGCCACGAUGCAUAGCCGACCUGAGAGGGUGAUCGGCCACACUGGGACUGAGACACGGCCCAGACUCCUACGGGAGGCAGCAGUAGGGAAUCUUCGGCAAUGGACGAAAGUCUGACCGAGCAACGCCGCGUGAGUGAAGAAGGUUUUCGGAUCGUAAAACUCUGUUGUUAGAGAAGAACAAGGACGUUAGUAACUGAACGUCCCCUGACGGUAUCUAACCAGAAAGCCACGGCUAACUACGUGCCAGCAGCCGCGGUAAUACGUAGGUGGCAAGCGUUGUCCGGAUUUAUUGGGCGUAAAGCGAGCGCAGGCGGUUUCUUAAGUCUGAUGUGAAAGCCCCCGGCUCAACCGGGGAGGGUCAUUGGAAACUGGGAGACUUGAGUGCAGAAGAGGAGAGUGGAAUUCCAUGUGUAGCGGUGAAAUGCGUAGAUAUAUGGAGGAACACCAGUGGCGAAGGCGGCUCUCUGGUCUGUAACUGACGCUGAGGCUCGAAAGCGUGGGGAGCAAACAGGAUUAGUAC
rnacentral:rRNA from 1 species